CGGGGUGUAGCUCAGCUUGGCAGAGCGCAGGCAUGGGGGGCCUGAGGUCGCCGGUUCAAGUCCGGCCACCUCGA
rnacentral:tRNA from 2 species